GUUUCGGUAAAAACCCUUUACGGGAUUUCCCUUAUUCCAAGUAUUUUAUUGGAUAUUUGUUCUUGGAAAACGCGAGUUUAUGCAUGGCAGACGGAUCAUGUUUCAAAGGUUUUGACAAUAAAGUAUUAUUGUUUAGUUUUUAGUAUCGAAAUUUGGCGUUGUAUAAGGCCCGUUUCAGACGCCACUCCAUUAAAUUAUUUCAACUAUUCUUUACGCAAAUCACAACUCUGUUAAUAUAGUUUUAUGCUGCCUAGACGAGUAUAUAUGUAUGUUUCUCUUGGGAAAGUCCCUGUGAGGGAAAUACCCGUUAUUCUAAGAAAAGCAACUGCGUAUUCCAGUUAUUAAAUCGUACGAGACACUUCCUGAAACAUGGCGAACUAUGAUAGGCUGAGCGUUGUA